rnacentral:rRNA from 1 species
CAAUAGCGUAUAUUAAAGUUGUUGCAGUUAAAAAGCUCGUAGCUGGGUUUUUGGUCAAUCACCGAUGCUUCCUUUACAGGCCGCAGGAGAAGAUUGUCCAAUUUAUUGCGACGAGCCACUCUAUGAGUGGUCUUGCACUAUUACUUUGAGUAAACUAGAGUGUUCCUAGCAAGCUAUUGCCUUGAAUACUGCAGCAUGGAAUGAUAAGACAACUAUUGCAGCGCUUAUUGGUUGACGUGCAAUUGUGAUGAUUGAUAGGAACAGCUGGGGGCCAUUCGUAUUCAACAGUCAGAGGUGAAAUUCUUAGAUUUGUUGAAGACGAACUAAAUGCGAAAGCAUUUGGCAAGAAUGUUUUCAUUAGUCAAGAACGAAAGUUAGGGAUCAAAGACGAUUAGAUACCAU